CCUACGGGUGGCAGCAGUGAGGAAUAUUGGUCAAUGGGCGCGAGCCUGAACCAGCCAAGUCGCGUGAGGGAAGACGGUCCUAUGGAUUGUAAACCUCUUUUGUCGGGGAGCAAAAGACGCCACGCGUGGCGUUCCGAGAGUACCCGAAGAAAAAGCAUCGGCUAACUCCGUGCCAGCAGCCGCGGUAAUACGGAGGAUGCGAGCGUUAUCCGGAUUUAUUGGGUUUAAAGGGUGCGAAGGCGGAAGAUCAAGUCAGCGGUAAAAUUGAGAGGCUCAACCUCUUCGAGCCGUUGAAACUGGCUGUCUUGAGUGAGCGAGAGGUAGGCGGAAUGCGUGGUGUAGCGGUGAAAUGCAUAGAUAUCACGCAGAACUCCGAUUGCGAAGGCAGCAUACCGGCGCUCAACUGACGCUGAUGCACGAAAGUGUGGGUAUCGAACAGGAUUAGAUACCCCUGUAGUC
rnacentral:rRNA from 1 species